AAAGUCGUAACAAGGUAACCGUAGGUGAACCUGCGGUUGGAUCAUUACCAAAACUCGCUGUGAAAACAGUGUGAACCUCUUGUGAACUCGUAUCUGUAAUUGGUGGUUGGUUUGCUCGGGAAUCGGUUAGUAGUACUGAGCGCCAGUAAAUCGGAAACCGGGGCCCAUGGGAAACGCGGUGUCACGUAAUUGUGUCACGUGGGAGUACCCUGGACCCGGUAGCCUUGCCAUCAUCUGUAAACAACCCAAACCUGUGUAUAUUUUUUUUUACGUCUUACUUGUUCCGCUUGUUAACACGAGCGUGAAUGAAAACAAAUUGAAAACAACUUUUGGCAACGGAUCUCUUGGCUCUC
rnacentral:misc_RNA from 1 species